ACUCCUACGGGAGGCAGCAGUAGGGAAUCUUCCACAAUGGGCGCAAGCCUGAUGGAGCAACACCGCGUGAGUGAAGAAGGGCUUCGGCUCGUAAAGCUCUGUUGUUAAAGAAGAACACGUAUGAGAGUAACUGUUCAUACGUUGACGGUAUUUAACCAGAAAGUCACGGCUAACUACGUGCCAGCAGCCACGGUAAUACGUAGGUGGCAAGCGUUAUCCGGAUUUAUUGGGCGUAAAGAGAGUGCAGGCGGUUUUCUAAGUCUGAUGUGAAAGCCUUCGGCUUAACCGGAGAAGUGCAUCGGAAACUGGAUAACUUGAGUGCAGAAGAGGGUAGUGGAGCUCCAUGUGUAGCGGUGGAAUGCGUAGAUAUAUGGAAGAACAACCAGUGGCGAAGGCGGCUACCUGGUCUGCAACUGACGCUGAGACUCGAAAGCAU
rnacentral:rRNA from 1 species